rnacentral:rRNA from 1 species
UGGGGAAUCUUAGACAAUGGGCGCAAGCCUGAUCUAGCGAUGCCGCGUGAGUGAUGAAGGCCUUAGGGUCGUAAAGCUCUUUCGCCUGUGAUGAUAAUGACAGUAGCAGGUAAAGAAACCCCGGCUAACUCCGUGCCAGCAGCCGCGGUAAUACGGAGGGGGUUAGCGUUGUUCGGAAUUACUGGGCGUAAAGCGCACGUAGGCGGAUUAAUAAGUCAGAGGUGAAAUCCCAGGGCUCAACCCUGGAACUGCCUUUGAUACUGUUAGUCUUGAGUUCGAGAGAGGUAAGUGGAAUUCCGAGUGUAGAGGUGAAAUUCGUAGAUAUUCGGAGGAACACCAGUGGCGAAGGCGACUUACUGGCUCGAUACUGACGCUGAGGUGCGAAAGUGUGGGGAGCAAACAGGAUUAGAUACCCUGGUAGUCCACACCGUAAACGAUGAAUGCCAGACGUCGGGUAGCAUGCUAUUCGGUGUCACACCUAACGGAUUAAGCAUUCCGCCUGGGGAGUACGGCGCA